rnacentral:rRNA from 1 species
UGGGGAAUAUUGGACAAUGGGCGCAAGCCUGCUCCAGCCAUGCCGCGUGAGUGAUGAAGGCCUUAGUGUUGUAAAGCUCUUUUGUCCGGGACGAUAAUGACGGUACCGGAAGUAUAAGCCCCGGCUAACUUCGUGCCAGCAGCCGCGGUAAUACGAAGGGGGCUAGCGUUGCUCGGAAUCACUGGGCGUAAAGGGCGCGUAGGCGGCCAUUCAAGUCGGGGGUGAAAGCCUGUGGCUCAACCACAGAAUUGCCUUCGAUACUGUUUGGCUUGAGACCGGAAGAGGUAAGUGGAACUGCGAGUGUAGAGGAGAAAUUCGUAGAUAUUCGCAAGAACACCAGUGGCGAAGGCGGCUUACUGGUCCGGUUCUGACGCUGAGGCGCGAAAGCGUGGGGAGCAAACAGG